AAUAGAUACCCUGGUAGUCCACGCCCUAAACGAUGACGACUAGAUGUCGGAGGGGUCUGCCUUUCGGUGUCGUAGCUAACGCGUUAAGUCGUCCGCCUGGGGAGUACGGCCGCAAGGUUGAAACUCAAAGGAAUUGACGGGGGACCCGCACAAGCGGUGGAGCAUGUGGUUCAAUUCGAUGCAACGCGAAGAACCUUACCUGGCCUUGACAUCCGCGGAACUCGGCAGAAAUGCCUUGGUGCCUUCGGGAAUCGCGAGACAGGUGCUGCGUGGCUGUCGUCAGCUCGUGUCGUGAGAUGUUGGGUUAAGUCCCGCAACGAGCGCAACCCUUGUCCUUAGUUGCCAUCAUUAAGUUGGGAACUCUAAGGAGACCGCCGGUGACAAACCGGAGGAAGGUGGGGAUGACGUCAAGUCAUCACGGCCCUUAUGGCCAGGGCUACACACGUGCUACAAUGGGCGGUACAGAGGGUUGCCAACCCGGCGAGGGGGAGCCAAUCCCAGAAAGCCGUUCGUAGUCCGGAUCGGAGUCUGCAACUCGACUCCGUG
rnacentral:rRNA from 1 species